CAAAUAUUAGUAAGUAUUUCUAUUUGCCCAUAUGAAAAAUCUCACGCCUAAACCCAACAUCCUCCUCCUCCUCCUCCUCCAUCUUCUCAUUUUGACUCAUACAUUCUACAUUGUAACCAGUUCGUCAUUUUUCAAAUGUUGUUGUCACUCCACAUUUUUAUUACUUUAAUGGAUGGUUGUGAUUUCCCUAAUUUUUCUUUACCUUCAUCUGAGAAACUGGAGUAAUAGGUGGAAUAAUUUCAACAUUGUUUGGAGGAAGAAGGGAUACUACGGUAGUCAAUACUUUGUUCGCAUAUAUUCGAGAAAUGGGAGAAACAGUUUGAAGAAUUUCGACAUUGUUUUGAGAAAUUAGGGGAUUUACGGGUGUGGAUACUUGGGAGAUUUACGGGUCUGGAUAUGGGUUCUAACGACGAAGACAGAUUCAAUCACUAUGCUCAUAAAUGGAGACUUUCCUCUGUUCAUUAGUUUGCCUGGUUGAUGAUGAUUAUGCAAAGAUUGGGUUGGAGGUGGCUACUAGCUUUAUUAUCCAUACCAUCAUUUGUAGAACCUUUUGUUAUUUGUGUAUCGGUUUCACAUCAAUCACUACUUUCUAAAACCUUUUGAGGGUUAAUUCCUGUUUUGUUUCUCUCAGAAUUUAGAAAUUGAUCUUGCUGGAAGUCAGGAAUCCUCAGACAAAUAGCUUGUUGGAGUACUGAUGACAUUUUCAAAUAAGGUUAUGUGCUGCAUUUUGAGUUCCUAUUCGUGUGGAAGCCACAGACAAAUAACUCUUUUGCAUCUACCUAUUUUGUAAUGGUUAUAUUUUCUUUAUUUUCAUUUGUGUAAAACUCUUGUUUUAAUCUAUUGUUAGUUUAUUUACAAUACUAGUGAAUCUAUCCAAAUCAAAAUUAUUAUUUU